GUCAACGGAGCAAGACUCUGUCUUUAAAAAAAAAAAAAAACCCAGCCAGGGAAGAUCCAUUUGGCUUCAAGGAUUGGAAAUAGACCCAAGUAUGCCUCUUCUCUUGCCACCAAGGUCAGCCUGCUCUUUGCUGCUACGCAAAUCAACUCCCUCCAGCCCCUAGAACAGCUCAGCAAUUUCAUGCAUUUUUCCGUAAGUGGUGAUGUCUCUUUGGGCCCCAAAAUGUAGCUAGGAAGAUCUUUAAGGACAGAGUCCAAAUUUUCACUUCAAAUCUGAAGAACCAAUGUCCAGAGGGACAGGACCACCCUUGUUGGGGGUGGGAGAGGGAAGGUGCCCAGGGAGUGGAGGGACUGGUGAGACCAGAGCCCAAGCCUUAUGAUCCUAGUCCCCAAGCCUUUCCAUUUUACCUUCCAACAGUACUUGACAAACCAACCACCAGAAGUAUCCCCGUUUCAUGGAGACCUAAGGAAACAGCGGAGCUGCAUGCUAUUGUGAGGAGCAGUAUGAUGUGGAGAGGGAAACAAGCACUUGGGGACUCAGACCCAGAUUGCAGUCUGGCUCUGCCACUUACUGGCUAGGUGAUGUGACUUUGGACAAGUUUCUUAACCUCUCUGAGCCUUGGGUUAUUGCUCAGUAAAGAUGAGGUUCUUCUUUGUUCAUGG